CCUACGGGUGGCAGCAGUAGGGAAUUUUGCGCAAUGGGCGAAAGCCUGACGCAGCAACACCGCGUGAAUGUUAAACCCUUCGGGGUGUAAAGUUCUGUCAAUAGGGACGAAUUUUGCCGGUACCUAUAAAGGAAUCACCGGCUAACUCCGUGACAGCAGCCGCGGUAAUACGUAGGGAGCAAGCGUUGUCCGGAUUUACUGGGUGUAAAGGGAGCGUAGUCGGGGGGAUAAGUUGAAGGUGAAAUCUAUGGGCUAAACCAAUGGCUGCGUUCAAAACUGUUCUUCUUGAGUGAAGGAGAGGCAGGCGGAAUGCCUGGUGUAGCGGUGAAAUGCGUAGAUAUCAGGAGGAACACCAGUUGCGAAGGCGGCCUGCUGGGCUUUUACUGACGCUGAGGCUCGAAAGCGUGGGUAGCAAACAGGAUUAGAUACCCGUGUAGUC
rnacentral:rRNA from 1 species